CCUACGGGUUGCAGCAGUGGGGAAUAUUGCACAAUGGGCGCAAGCCUGAUGCAGCCAUGCCGCGUGUGUGAAGAAGGCCUUCGGGUUGUAAAGCACUUUCAGCGGGGAGGAAGGCGUUAAGGUUAAUAACCUUGGCGAUUGACGUUACCCGCAGAAGAAGCACCGGCUAACUCCGUGCCAGCAGCCGCGGUAAUACGGAGGGUGCAAGCGUUAAUCGGAAUUACUGGGCGUAAAGCGCACGCAGGCGGUCUGUCAAGUCGGAUGUGAAAUCCCCGGGCUCAACCUGGGAACUGCAUUCGAAACUGGCAGGCUAGAGUCUUGUAGAGGGGGGUAGAAUUCCAGGUGUAGCGGUGAAAUGCGUAGAGAUCUGGAGGAAUACCGGUGGCGAAGGCGGCCCCCUGGACAAAGACUGACGCUCAGGUGCGAAAGCGUGGGGAGCAAACAGGAUUAGAUACCCCAGUAGUC
rnacentral:rRNA from 1 species